GAUGAACGCUGGCGGUAUGCCUAACACAUGCAAGUCGAACGGAGUACUUCGGUACUUAGUGGCGGACGGGUGAGUAACGCGUGAGAAUCUGCCUCCAGAAUGGGGACAACAGUUGGAAACGACUGCUAAUACCCAAUGAGCCGAAAGGUAAAAGAUUUAUCGUCUGGAGAGGAGCUCGCGUCCGAUUAGCUAGUUGGUGGGGUAAAAGCCUACCAAGGCAGCGAUCGGUAGCUGGUCUGAGAGGAUGAGCAGCCACACUGGGACUGAGACACGGCCCAG
rnacentral:rRNA from 1 species